UGCCUUAGUGGGAGGGGCUGUUGGCUGGGCGGCUGCUUUGCAUGCAGAAGGCCUCAGGUUCAAUCCCUGACAGCUAAA